CGUAUGGUCUAGUGGCCAGGAUACCUGG
rnacentral:sRNA from 1 species